rnacentral:rRNA from 1 species
UGAGGAAUAAUUGGUCAAUGGGCGGGAGCCUGAACCAGCCAAGCCGCGUGAGGGAAGAAGGUACAGCGUAUCGUAAACCUCUUUUGUCAGGGAACAAAGGCGGGGACUAGUCCCGGGAUUGAGGGUACCUGAAGAAAAAGCAUCGGCUAACUCCGUGCC